UUCUGUACGCACACAGCCCUGCAGUGCCCAUCACUGCUGGAGCGGCAAGAAAAUAGGUGAUGGCAAACAGUCAAUGGCAACAGCAUGCCUGGGUGCAACAAGCGAAGAAGACUACCACAGACCAUAGCAUUCAUGCAGCCAGGAAUUCAUCCUCCGGCUCUGUCUCCAUAGCCAAAACAGCUACUCAAGAUUCAGGCCAUUGAAUGGUGAAAGAGGCUGGGUACCAGAGUCAGCUUAAGAAGACUGUCACCCUGUCAUGGAUGGUACCACGACCCCAGCAAUCAUCGCCCAUUGACUCCCCAGUGCUGCUAAUGGAAGGCUAAGGAUUUUCAGCAGCACAGCAGUGCCUGGAAGCUCACGCUGAGAUUGGGGCCCAGUCAUGCUAAACACAUAGGGAGCGUCCCUGCCCAAAAGAGCUUACAAUCUAAAUAGGCCUGAGACACAACAGGUGAGAGGGG